rnacentral:rRNA from 1 species
CCUACGGGGAGCAGCAGUCGAGAAUCAUUCACAAUGGGGGAAACCCUGAUGGUGCGACGCCGCGUGGGGGAAUGAAGGUCUUCGGAUUGUAAACCCCUGUCAUGUGGGAGCAAAUUAAAAAGAUAGUACCACAAGAGGAAGAGACGGCUAACUCUGUGCCAGCAGCCGCGGUAAUACAGAGGUCUCAAGCGUUGUUCGGAAUCACUGGGCGUAACGCGUGCGUAGGCUGUUUCGUAAGUCGUGGGUGAAAGGCGCGGGCUCAACCCGCGGACGGCACAUGAUACUGCGAGACUAGAGUAAUGGAGGGGGAAGCGGAAUUCUCGGUGUAGCAGUGAAAUGCGUAGAUAUCGAGAGGAACACUCGUGGCGAAGGCGGGUUCCUGGACAUUAACUGACGCUGAGGCACGAAGGCCAGGGGAGCGAAAGGGAUUAGAUACCCUUGUAGUC